UACGAAGGGGGCUAGCGUUGUUCGGAAUCACUGGGCGUAAAGCGCACGUAGGCGGAUUUUUAAGUCAGGGGUGAAAUCCCGAGGCUCAACCUCGGAACUGCCUUUGAUACUGGAGAUCUUGAGUCCGGAAGAGGUAAGUGGAACUGCGAGUGUAGAGGUGAAAUUCGUAGAUAUUCGCAAGAACACCAGUGGCGAAGGCGGCUUACUGGUCCGGAACUGACGCUGAGGCACGAAAGCGUGGGGAGCAAACAGG
rnacentral:rRNA from 1 species